GUGGGGAAUAUUGGACAAUGGGCGCAAGCCUGAUCCAGCCAUGCCGCGUGAGUGAUGAAGGCCUUAGGGUUGUAAAGCUCUUUCAGUGGGGACGAUAAUGACGGUACCCACAGAAGAAGCCCCGGCUAACUUCGUGCCAGCAGCCGCGGUAAUACGAAGGGGGCUAGCGUUGGUCGGAUUUACUGGGCGUAAAGCGCACGUAGGCGGAUCGUUAAGUCGGGGGUGAAAUCCUGGAGCUCAACUCCAGAACUGCCUUCGAUACUGGCGAUCUUGAGUCCGGAAGAGGUGAGUGGAACUCCUAGUGUAGAGGUGGAAUUCGUAGAUAUUAGGAAGAACACCAGUGGCGAAGGCGGCUCACUGGUCCGGUACUGACGCUGAGGUGCGAAAGCGUGGGGAGCAAACAGGAUUAGAAACCCUUGUAGUCC
rnacentral:rRNA from 1 species